rnacentral:lncRNA from 1 species
AUCCACCAAUCCCCACUACAGGUGUAUAACUUCCGAUCGUCAAGCUAACGACGUUAAACAAGCGUUGCUUGGGAGGCAACCCAUGGUUUUUUAUUUUAUUUUACUUUUUUGCAUUUACUUUAUUUUAUUUUAUUUUUAUUUUUAUCAUAUUUUCAUCGAGACUAAAUAUUUGAAUGGUUUGUAUUUUCAGGAUCCCUUUUCCUAACUUUUACAGGAUGCAGGACUUCGACGAUAUGCACGUAGCCUAUAGAGAUGAUGCUCAG